AUGAACGCUGGCGGCGUGCUUAACACAUGCAAGUCGAACGGUGAAGGCGGAGCUUGCUCUGCUGGAUCAGUGGCGAACGGGUGAGUAACACGUGAGCAAUCUGCCCCUGACUCUGGGAUAAGCGCUGGAAACGGCGUCUAAUACUGGAUACGAGCUGCGAAGGCAUCUUCAGCAGCUGGGAAGAAUUUCGGUCAGGGAUGAGCUCGCGGCCUAUCAGCUUGUUGGUGAGGUAAUGGCUCACCAAGGCGUCGACGGGUAGCCGGCCUGAGAGGGUGACCGGCCACACUGGGACUGAGACACGGCCCAGACUCCUACGGGAGGCAGCAGUGGGGAAUAUUGCACAAUGGGCGAAAGCCUGAUGCAGCAACGCCGCGUGAGGGACGACGGCCUUCGGGUUGUAAACCUCUUUUAGCAGGGAAGAAGCGAAAGUGACGGUACCUGCAGAAAAAGCGCCGGCUAACUACGUG
rnacentral:rRNA from 1 species